UACAGAGAUCUCAACCAUUGUUCGGAUUCAUUGAGCAUAAAGAAUGCAUAGACGAUCGGGUAAAUCGGAUGUGAAAUCCCAAAGCUCAACCCUGAAACUGCAUUCGAUACUACCUGGCUAGGGUACUGAAGAGGAGACUGGAAUUUACGGUGUAGCAGUGAAAUGCGUAGAUAUCGUAAAGAAGACCAGUGACGAAGACGAGUCUCUGGACAGUUACCGACGCUGAGACACGAAGAUCAGGGGAACAAACGGG
rnacentral:rRNA from 1 species